GACGAACGCUGGCGGCGUGCUCAACACAUGCAAGUCGAACGGUGAGGAGGAGCUUGCUCCUCCGAUCAGUGGCGAACGGGUGAGUAACACGUGAGUAACCUGCCCCAGACCCUGGGAUAACAGUUGGAAACAGCUGCUAAUACCGGAUACGAGACGGAGAGGCAUCUCUACCGUCUGGAAAGAUUUAUCGGUCUGGGAUGGACUCGCGGCCUAUCAGCUUGUUGGUGAGGUAAAGGCUCACCAAGGCGACGACGGGUAGCCGGCCUGAGAGGGCGACCGGCCACACUGGGACUGAGACACGGCCCAGACUCCUACGGGAGGCAGCAGUGGGGAAUAUUGCACAAUGGGCGAAAGCCUGAUGCAGCGACGCCGCGUGAGGGAUGACGGCCUUCGGUUGU
rnacentral:rRNA from 1 species